GAUGAAGAACGCAGUGAAAUGCGAUAAGUAGUGUGAAUUGCAGAAUUCAGUGAAUCAUCGAAUCUUUGAACGCACAUUGCGCCCCUUGGUAUUCCAUGGGGCAUGCCUGUUCGAGCGUCAUUUGUACCUUCAAGCUCCGCUUGGUGUUGGGUGUUUGUCUCGCCUUUGCGUGUAGACUCGCCUUAAAACCAUUGGCAGCCGGCGUAUUGAUUUCGGAGCGCAGUACAUCUCGCGCUUUGCACUCAGAACGACGACGUCCAAAAGUACAUUUUUACACUCUUGACCUCGGAUCAGGUAGGGAUACCCGCUGAACUUAAGCAUAUCAAUAAGCGGAGGA
rnacentral:misc_RNA from 1 species